rnacentral:rRNA from 1 species
GAGUAACACGUGGAUAACCUACCUAUAAGACUGGGAUAACUUCGGGAAACCGGAGCUAAUACCGGAUAAUAUUUUGAACCGCAUGGUUCAAAAGUGAAAGACGGUCUUGCUGUCACUUAUAGAUGGAUCCGCGCUGCAUUAGCUAGUUGGUAAGGUAACGGCUUACCAAGGCAACGAUGCAUAGCCGACCUGAGAGGGUGAUCGGCCACACUGGAACUGAGACACGGUCCAGACUCCUACGGGAGGCAGCAGUAGGGAAUCUUCCGCAAUGGGCGAAAGCCUGACGGAGCAACGCCGCGUGAGUGAUGAAGGUCUUCGGAUCGUAAAACUCUGUUAUUAGGGAAGAACAUAUGUGUAAGUAACUGUGCACAUCUUGACGGUACCUAAUCAGAAAGCCACGGCUAACUACGUGCCAGCAGCCGCGGUAAUACGUAGGUGGCAAGCGUUAUCCGGAAUUAUUGGGCGUAAAGCGCGCGUAGGCGGUUUUUUAGUCUGAUGUGAAAGCCCACGGCUCAACCGUGGAGGGUCAUUGGAAACUGGAAAACUUGAGUGCAGAAGAGGAAAGUGGAAUUCCAUGUGUAGCGGUGAAAUGCGCAGAGAUAUGGAGGAACACCAGUGGCGAAGGCGACUUUCUGGUCUGUAACUGACGCUGAUGUGCGAAAGCGUGGGGAUCAAACAGGAUUAGAUACCCUGGUAGUCCACGCCGUAAACGAUGAGUGCUAAGUGUUAGGGGGUUUCCGCCCCUUAGUGCUGCAGCUAACGCAUUAAGCACUCCGCCUGGGGAGUACGACCGCAAGGUUGAAACUCAAAGGAAUUGACGGGGACCCGCACAAGCGGUGGAGCAUGUGGUUUAAUUCGAAGCAACGCGAAGAACCUUACCAAAUCUUGACAUCCUUUGACAACUCUAGAGAUAGAGCCUUCCCCUUCGGGGGACAAAGUGACAGGUGGUGCAUGGUUGUCGUCAGCUCGUGUCGUGAGAUGUUGGGUUAAGUCCCGCAACGAGCGCAACCCUUAAGCUUAGUUGCCAUCAUUAAGUUGGGCACUCUAAGUUGACUGCCGGUGACAAACCGGAGGAAGGUGGGGAUGACGUCAAAUCAUCAUGCCCCUUAUGAUUUGGGCUACACACGAGCUACAAUGGACAAUACAAAGGGCAGCGAAACCGCGAGGUCAAGCAAAUCCCAUAAAGUUGUUCUCAGUUCGGAUUGUAGUCUGCAACUCGACUACAUGAAGCUGGAAUCGCUAGUAAUCGUAGAUCAGCAUGCUACGGUGAAUACGUUCCCGGGUCU